GUUCAGUGUCAUUUGACAAUUCAUGCUUAAGCAUGAAUGCCACAAGAGAGCAGAUUGCUGUUUGUCUUCUUCAGAAUACAGGUUAGACUUCUUAUUAGGAUUUUUUACCAUAAUUAUUUGUGAAGCGGCUGGAGGCAAAUGCAUGUUACUGUGUUCACUCUACUCUGCAAUUCAAAAUUGUAUUUGUCAUGUAAAAAUUGCUGAUCAUUGUGAACUUGACGAUGUUAUACACUUUUUUUUUGUAGAAGACACUGACCUGUGUCAUUUCUGCGGGGAGCAGGCUGGUGACACUAAUUGGAUUGGCUGUGACAUUUGUCCAAGAUGGUACCACAGGGGCUGUAUCAACAAACCUAGAAAAAAGCAGUUCAUUUGUGAGGCCUGCCAGUAAAAUCUAUUCUUCACCCUGGUGUCUUGUAAAUAUAUUAGUUCUUUUUGCAUGUAUAUAGUUUUUUAUAUUUUGGUCUUACAAGCAUCUGUUUUUAUUUUAGCACUAAGUAUUGAAAAAUAAACACGUUGAAAGUAAUACAAAGUUCUGUUUUGAUUUGUAUUUUUUUGCAUCUAUGUUUUUUGGGGAAAUAUUAAAAAAACCCUAUGUCCAACCACAUUUAUCGAAGAUAAGAACACUCCUAAACUUAUUAAGAAAUCUAAUCAUGUAAAUACAACCCAGAAGAGUGUAAAACAAUUAAAGUCAGACAGAAAGAGCCAUUCAGUAAAGAGAUAUUGAGUGUAAUCACUUUUUGGCAAUGGGUGAACUACAUUACACUGGUCCUAUAUAGAGGUGUUUAAAGUCAUAAAAAUGGGUUAGUUGUUUACUAAUCAUGUACAUACAACCCAGAAGAGUGUAAAACAAUUAAAGUCAGGCAGAAAGAGCCAUUCAGUAAAGAGAU